GGGAAGAUGCCGGAGUGGCCGAACGGGACGGAUUCGAAAUCCGUUGUGUUAGCGAUAGCACCUAGGGUUCGAAUCCCUAUCUUCCCG
rnacentral:tRNA from 1 species